AUGGCCUUCACUGCUUGAAAGCCUUCCAAUGGGUUCCACUUUUUUAUUGUGUUAUCUCAACUAUUGAUAAAUUCAUAUUUGCAAGACUAAUAGGCUGUCAAACUGUGUUGAUGUCUGUGUUAGUUGUGAAUAUCCCUUAAAGUAUUCUUUGCAUUGCAGCAAGAGAGAUCAACCCAUUUAGAGGAGAGUGUGACCAAAAGUGACAGCCUUGCUUUCUUAGCUAUAGAAUCAUCAAUGCAUGGAAAUAUGCACAAGGUGGAAAUAAUGUAGGAUGUCUAUUUCAAUUUCUAAAAUUAAUUUUUAAUAAUAUUUUGUGUUUUAUUUAAAACACUUUUUUUUGUAAGAUAAAAAACUGUAUCACAGGACCCCACUGUCAGAACUGACUAUGGUCGUAAAGGUGAAAAUAGUGUUUAUUCUGCCUUCUAGUUUACUUUUCCACCACUAAACAGCACCAGAGGCAUGGCAACACUCAAUAUUUAUUUGUUGUUUUGAUUAACUGACAAUGUAAUAUAAUGGUAACACAAUUGACCCUUCUUUGGUUUUUUUAACUUCUCCAUAACUUUGCUGUUUUUAAAGCCACAGUUUAAAAGUAUUUAGCUAUUCUCAGGUGAUAUGGUUUGGAUGUUUUGUCCCCUCCAAAUAUCAUGUUGAAAUGUAAUCUCUGAUACUGGAGGUGGGCCUAGUGGGAGGUGUUUGGGUCAUUGGGGCAGAUCUCUCAUGAAUGGCCUGGUGUUGUCCUCAAGGUAAUGAAUGAGUUGUUGCUCUAUGGGUUCACACAAGAUCUGGUUGUUUAAAAAAGACUGGCACCUCCUCCCUCUGUCUUGCUCCCUCUCUCACCAUGUGACAUGCUGGCUCCCCUUCACCUUCUGCCAUGAUUAAAAGCUUCUGAGGCCCUCACCAGAGGCUGAUGCAAGCACUAUGCUUUGUGUACAGCCUUCAGAAUGUUGAGUCAAAUAAAUCUAUUUUCUUUAUAAAUCACCCUGUCUCAGGUAUUUCUUUAUAUCAAGGUAAAGGACUAACAUAUCAGGUGAGAAGUAAUUUGACACACACACAAA
rnacentral:lncRNA from 10 species